rnacentral:rRNA from 1 species
GGUGCGUAGGCGGAAUAAUAAGUCAGUUGUGAAAGUUUGCGGCUCAACCGUAAAAUUGCAGUUGAUACUGUUAUUCUUGAGUGUACAUAAGGUAGGCGGAAUUCGUGGUGUAGCGGUGAAAUGCUUAGAUAUCACGAAGAACUCCAAUUGCGAAGGCAGCUUACCGGGGUACAACUGACGCUGAGGCACGAAAGUGUGGGUAUCAAACAGGAUUAGAUACCCUGGUAGUCCACACAGUAAACGAUGAAUACUCGCUGUUUGCAAUAUACCGCAAGCGGCCAAGCGAAAGCAUUAAGUAUUCCACCUGGGGAGUACGCCGGCAACGGUGAAACUCAAAGGAAUUGACGGGGGCCCGCACAAGCGGAGGAACAUGUGGUUUAAUUCGAUGAUACGCGAGGAACCUUACCCAGGCUUAAAUUGCAGAUGAAUAUAGUGGAAACAUUAUAGCCUUCGGGCAUCUGUGAAGGUGCUGCAUGGUUGUCGUCAGCUCGUGCCGUGAGGUGUCGGCUUAAGUGCCAUAACGAGCGCAACCCUUAUUGAUAGUUACUAACAGGUUAAGCUGAGGACUCUAUCGAGACUGCCGUCGUAAGAUGCGAGGAAGGUGGGGAUGACGUCAAAUCAGCACGGCCCUUACGUCUGGGGCUACACACGUGUUACAAUGGGGGGUACAGAAGGUCGCUACCUGGCAACAGGAUGCUAAUCCCAAAAGCCUCUCUCAGUUCGGAUUGGAGUCUGCAACCCGACUCCAUGAAGCUGGAUUCGCUAGUAAUCGCGCAUCAGCCACGGCGCGGUGAAUACGUUCCCGGGCCUUGUACACACCGCCCGUCAAGCCAUGGGAGCCGGGGGUACCUGAAGUACGUAACCGCAAGGAGCGUCC